rnacentral:rRNA from 1 species
UACGUAGGGCGCAAGCGUUAUCCGGAAUUAUUGGGCGUAAAGAGCUCGUAGGCGGUUUGUCGCGUCUGCCGUGAAAGCCCGGGGCUCAACUCCGGAUCUGCGGUGGGUACGGGCAGACUAGAGUGAUGUAGGGGAGACUGGAAUUCCUGGUGUAGCGGUGAAAUGCGCAGAUGUCAGGAGGAACACCGAUGGCGAAGGCAGGUCUCUGGGCAUUAACUGACGCUGAGGAGCGAAAGCGUGGGGAGCGAACAGG